UACGGAGGGUGCAAGCGUUAUCCGGAUUCACUGGGUUUAAAGGGUGCGUAGGCGGACAGGUAAGUCCGUGGUGAAAUCCUGCAGCUUAACUGCAGAACUGCCAUGGAUACUAUCUAUCUUGAAUGUCGUGGAGGUUAGCGGAAUAUGUCAUGUAGCGGUGAAAUGCUUAGAGAUGACAUAGAACACCCAUUGCGAAGGCAGCUAACUACGCGAUAAUUGACGCAGAUGCACGAAAGCGUGGGGAUCAAACAGG
rnacentral:rRNA from 1 species